UACGGAGGGUGCAAGCGUUAAUCGGAAUUACUGGGCGUAAAGCGCACGUAGGUGGUUUGUUAAGCUAGAUGUGAAAGCCCCGGGCUCAACCUGGGAAUUGCAUUUAGAACUGGCAAGCUAGAGUAGGGUAGAGGGGUGUGGAAUUCCAGGUGUAGCGGUGAAAUGCGUAGAUAUCGGGAGGAACAUCAGUGGCGAAGGCGACCGCCUGGCCCAACACUGACGCUGAGGUGCGAAAGCGUGGGUAGCAAACGGG
rnacentral:rRNA from 1 species